rnacentral:rRNA from 1 species
CUGCAGCUCGAGUGGUGAUCAUUAUUAUUGGGCCUAAAACGUCCGUAGCCGGUUUAGUAAAUGCCUGGGUAAAUCGUGUAGCUUAACUAUACGACUUCCGGGUAGACUGCUAAACUUGAGACCGGGAGAGGCUAGAGGUACUCCUGGGGUAGAGGUGAAAUUCUGUAAUCCUAGGGGGACCACCAGUGGCGAAGGCGUCUAGCUAGAACGGGUCUGACGGUGAGGGACGAAGCCCUGGGGCACAAACCGGAUUAGAUACCCGAGUAGUCC